rnacentral:rRNA from 1 species
GCCAGCAGCCAUAUCACUCUGCAGCUCUCAACUGGCUACCCACUGAAGCUCAGCAGGGUUGAGCCUGGUCAGUACCUGGAUGGGAGACCUCCUGUGAAGCUCUGGUUGCUGCUGGAA